rnacentral:tRNA from 1 species
GUAAAGUCAGCUAAUCAAGCUUUUGGGCCCAUACCCCAGGAAUGUAGGUUAAACCCCUUCCUUUACUA